rnacentral:rRNA from 1 species
GACGAACGCUGGCGGUGUGCUUAACACAUGCAAGUCGAACGGUAAGGCCCUUUCGGGGGUACACGAGUGGCGAACGGGUGAGUAACACGUGAGUAACCUGCCCUCAUCUCUGGGAUAACAGUCGGAAACGGUUGCUAAUACUGGAUAUGAGCUUGCAAGGCAUCUUGUGGGUUGGAAAGAUUUUUUUUGGUUGGGGAUGGACUCUCGGCCUAUCAGCUUGUUGGUGAGGUAGUGGCUCACCAAGGCUUCGACGGGUAGCCGGCCUGAGAGGGCGACCGGCCACAUUGGGACUGAGAUACGGCCCAAACUCCUACGGGAGGCAGCAGUGGGGAAUAUUGCACAAUGGACGGAAGUCUGAUGCAGCAACGCCGCGUGCGGGAUGACGGCCUUCGGGUUGUAAACCGCUUUCAAUUGUGACGAAGCUUUUUUGUGACGGUAGCAGUAGAAGAAGCACCGGCUAACUACGUG